rnacentral:rRNA from 1 species
CUUGCUCAUCGAUGACGAGUGGCGGACGGGUGAGUAAUGCUUGGGAACUUGCCUUUGCGAGGGGGAUAACAGUUGGAAACGACUGCUAAUACCGCAUAAUGUCUACGGACCAAACGGGGCUUCGGCUCCGGCGCAAAGAGAGGCCCAAGUGAGAUUAGCUAGUUGGUAAGGUAACGGCUUACCAAGGCGACGAUCUCUAACUGUUCUGAAAGGAAGAUCAGCCACACUGGGACUGAAACACGGCCCAGACUCCUACGGGAGGCAGCAGUGGGGAAUAUUGCACAAUGGGGGAAACCCUGAUGCAGCCAUGCCGCGUGUGUGAAGAAGGCCUUCGGGUUGUAAAGCACUUUCAGUUGUGAGGAAAAGUUAGUAGUUAAUACCUGCUAACCGUGACGUUAACAACCGAAAAAGCACCGGCUAACUCCGUGCCAGCAGCCGCCGUAAUACCGAGGGUGCGAGCGUUAAUCGGAAUUACUGGGCGUAAAGCGCACGCAGGCGGUUUGUUAAGCUAGAUGUGAAAGCCCCGGGCUCAACCUGGGAUGGUCCUUUAGAACUGGCAGACUAAAGUCUUGGAGAGGGGAGUGGAAUUCCAGGUGUAGCGGUGAAAUGCGUAGAUAUCUGGAGGA